AGGAUUUUAUAUAAAAUCGUGACCAGCACAGCUGUGGAUUAGUUUUCUAGGGUUUGUAUUUAGUCCUUUCGGGCAUGGCUUGACCGACCCAUUUUCUCAUCACUCUCCUUCUUCUUCUAGCUCUAUCGCCGACGGCGAUUCUCUCUGUCAAUCGUCUAGAUCAGGUAACGAUUAUCAUUGAUCCUCUUCCUUCGAGCGUAAUACUUGAUUUGUUGUAUGCAUGAGCUGGUCUCGUAGCAGCAACACUUCCCCUUUUUUCUUUUCUCUUGUUUGGCCAUCGGAUUCAUCGUGACCUCCAAUCUGGGGAUUUUUUUCCGAUUCAUUUUUAUGCAGUCCAUUCCGAUUGGUGUUUGCUUUGGGUGAUGAGCGAAUUGUUCAUUUGGGUUCUCGUUUCAUCGUUUGUAAUUGUGAUUUGUGACUCUUACGUUAUAUGAAUUGGUGAAAUCGGGUUUCUUAGCUGAGUUUUGUUAUCGUAUAUGGACGGUAGUUGUAGUUCUCAGCUAGUUGAAUUGCUUCUUCUGUUAUUUGUUAGGGAUGGAUCAUUGAUCUGAUGUUCCUGGCUUGUUUCUAUGAAUUUCAAAGUUUUUUGUUGAAGCUGAUUGCCAGAUGGAUGUUUUAGUACAGGGAUUACCCAACACUGCUUUGAGAAAAAGGGUUUCUGGGAAAUUGUAGUUUUGUACUAAUGAACUAUUGAUUUUGUUUGUGUUGUUAGCUUGACCGAGUUUAAUGGACGACCCUGUGUUGAUGUUGGUCCUCUCGUAGGUGAUAUUUUGGUUGUGGAGGCUAACUUCUCUGAGCUAAUGCAUGCAAAGUUCCAUGAUAGAUUUCAUGUGGUGGUUCUCUGUUCAAACUUGAUCUGCUUCCUUCAGUUGUCUUUCAGUUAUGCAUCUGUGCUUGUACAUGUCGUUCAAUUUUGGCAUAGCCAUGAAGGCAGUUUUAAACUUUUCUUAUCAAUUUUUUUGUUUCAUUACAUAGUGAAUACUUUAGAAGUUAGUUUGUCAAUUAAUUACUGGUGUUAAAGAGCUUAUAUUUGUUGCAGUCGGGUUAUUACCCUGUGAGCCAUUGGGCAUGAUUCAAUGGCAACAACAUUGAAAUUGAAAGUAAAGCCAACUGCAGGGUUGAAGUUGUGGCAGCUGAAUCUUCAUACUAUGUUCUGAGAGUUAAAAUAUUGCUCGAGUUAAGAGUAUGUCGUUGGAGGAUUUGUAAUUUAGGCAUAGUUUCACGUUAGUUUGUAUGUGAGUGUACAUUCACAGUGCAUUCUUUUGUGUUCUAUUGACUGGGUAAUGACUAAUUAUCAACCUUGUAAAGGUGAAUCUUUUGUGAAUGGACUUCAUGCGGUGUGCGAUUUCGAGGUAGUACACUGCAAGGAUGUAAACAUUCAACAACCAUUUUUUAGAAUAUUAUAAUUUUUUGUUAAUUCAGCUUCAUCAAAGUUAGCUAUUUAUUGUUCCGGUUGAACAUAAAUGAUCGACAAACGAAAAUUCUUUAAGCCGAGAGCUAAGAACAGACUUCUUGAGAGAAUCAUCUUUGCUUUUAAACUGAUGAUGGACGUUGUUUGUACAUAUCUGAGAACUGUAUUUUUCUGAGUUAAUAUUCAUUGGGGAUAACUUUAGUAGCACAGACCAUACAAGAAAAUAUUGAGAUGAAAUAUGUUAAAUCACGUGUAAUCACUAAUCAGAGGUAAUUGGCGACUAGCAAGAACCUCUGCAAGGUCCAAGGGCCAAUAAGUUUCUACUAAUAAAGAACUACCACUGGUUGCAUGAUCAUGCUCGUUGUCUUUUGCUUGUUUUCUUGACGUUGUUUGUAACUUGUUAUACAUCUGUUUUAUUAGUCGAGGCACUGAUUUUAAGUUCUACAUUGCAGGUAUCCAAUAGAACAUUCUGAUUCCAGUUUGGCCUGCCAAUUAAUCACCUUGGUUCCCAGUGUUAUCAAUCCGGAGAAACAAAAUGAGUCAACUGGAACACGUUUCAGAGAAAUUGGACUCUUCUUCCCAAAUGGGGUUUGGUUUGGAUAUGGGAUUACAUGAUCCAGCAAUGCAACUGGUAUCUUCCCCCAGUACACAUAUGGGGGUGAUGGGUUCAGUUUCCAGCAACGCACUAUCACAGCCGGCAUCAAUGCAAAUAAUGGAGCCUGUUAUUUCUCCUCGUGUUCUGCAGCAAUCAUCAAUGUCUAACAUCCAGAAGAGAAAUAUCGAUCCAUUUUCCUAUAAUAUGACAUCGGAGAACUUUUUGAUGCCUAAUAAUCAAUUCAGUGGCGUUGGGUCCUCGUUGCAGGAUCAACAGGCUGCAACAAACAAGAGAAAGGCACCAAUGGAAGGUGCAUCUCUGUACCCGGUGCCUCAGAGAUAUACAGCUCCAAAGCGGUUUUCUCUCAAUGAACAUAGGCCAUGGCUUCAGCCAACGGCAGUAACAAGUAAAUUACCUGUCCAGGUGCAGUCUGUAUUGCUUCGGCCACAAGGACCUCCUAAGAAACCGGCUCCUGUGAAAACCGGUACACAAUAUAUGCCUUUGAAAAAAAGUCAAACUGUUCAAAUGCAGCCGUCCCAGAAAGUGAAGAACGAGUCGUUUGAUUCUGUUAGGUCCAAGAUGAGAGAGUCAUUAGCUGGUGCUUUAGCUCUUGUACAAGAUAAGAGCCCAGAUGGUCCGAAAGACUCCAAGAGUACUGCUACAGGUGCUUCGGAGGAACCUUCUAGUGCUAAUGAUAACAGUGGUUCAGAACUGAUGGAUUCAUUGCCUGGAGCUGAUUCGGCUGGAAAUGCAGUCUUAACACACAAUCCGACGAACGAUGUACAAGGAGAGCAACCUGUGGAGACUGUUAGUAUUGAUGAUAUUCCUUUUAGUGAGAACUUUUAUGUGAAAGAUGAACUUCUUCAGGGUAAUGGUCUGUCAUGGAUUAUAGACUCUGAGAUAGAAUUAAUAGAUGAAAGUGGCAUCCGCAAGAAGCAGUUGGACCAAGAUGAUGUCCCUGCUGUAGAGAAGAAGCAACUUCUGAACCCUGAAAUUUUGGCAACGAAAAUUGAAGCUGAACUAUUCAAGUUAUUUCGAGGGGUGAACAAGAAAUACAAAGAAAAAGGAAGGUCUCUUCUGUUCAAUUUAAAGGAUCGUAAUAACCCGGAGUUGAGAGAAAAAGUCAUGCAGGGAGACAUAUGUCCCGAGAGGCUGUGUUCCAUGACUGCGGAGGAGCUUGCUUCGAAGGAGCUCUCAGAAUGGCGAGUGGCAAAAGCGGAGGAGUUCGCCCAAAUGGUUGUUUUGCCAGAUUCAGAUGUGGAUAUCAGGAAACUCGUGAGGAAAACACACAAAGGCGAGUUCCAGGUUGAGGACGACCAAGAUAGAGAUAUUGUAUCGGCAGAGGUUGCCAUCGGGACAAAUUCACUCAAUUUGCCACGACAACCCAAACCGAAACGAAAAGAAUCUUCUCCAUCAGAGAGUGGAAACGCAAAAAACACAGAAAAUUCGGAAUACACCGUCACAAUUCCUUCAACUGAAGCAGGUGACUUGAUGCAAGGUCUCAUGGUGGAUGAUGAGCUGAAGGAUGCCGAGUUUCUUCCCCCGAUUGUUUCCCUCGAUGAGUUUAUGGAAUCUCUUAACAACGAGCCCCCAUUUGAACCCUUACCUGAGGAUGCUGCUGAUAAAGCAACAACUCCAGCUUCUGUAAAGAAUGAUUCGAAGGUUGACUCAGAAAACAAGUCUCCUGAAAAUCUCGAAAAAGCUGGAAGUGAGGGACAAAAUGCCAAGUCCGUUGCUGCCGAGCAAUCUAGCAAGGAGAAUGACGAGAUAUCGAACACCACAACUGCUGUUGAUAUCAUUAAAGGUGAACGUGCCUGGGAAGGGUUACUGCAGCUCAACGUCUCUGCCACUGUUCCAGUUGUUGGCAUCUUUAAAAGGUAAAUCACUAAUCCUGCCAUACUGCUUUAGUUAUAAUCUGUUUGUUUUCUUUUGGUCCUACGGUGCUCAAAUUUGUUUUGCCUUGUUCGGUCUAUAAUGACUGAUUUGAGAUACUUGGUUAUUGCAGCGGGGAGAAGACACAGUCCAAGGACUGGCCUAGCUCGAUCGAGAUUAAGGGCCGAGUGAGACUGGAAGCAUUUGAGAAGUUCUUGCAGGCGCUUCCGAUGUCCCGAAGCCGUGCUGUCAUGGUAUCCCCAGUUUCUUUUAGUUGUAGUAAAUUAACCGUACAUCAAAAGUGGAGAGAAGGGCCUUUGGCUCCCAUUGUUCCGACUCAACUCGGUCUGGAGAGAGUUAUUUGUAUGAACUCGUGGGUUGACGGAAGGUCAAAUCGAGCGAAACUAGAAUUCUUUUAUAAUUCGAUGCUAUCAGAAUCGCAUGGAAUUCAAGUCCUAGCUAUCUUAGCAACAAAUUUCCAGUCGCUCCUUGCCAGACUAGCUGAAUUCGGAAUAGUUACACUAGACCUCGUUCAAUGGCGUUACCAAUGAAUGAAUUCCGCUGCGUUAGAUUUGGAAUAGACACUUGAACCUGAAAAUCAAUUUGGACUAUGAAUGCCAAAUGAAUCAAUUUAUGUAACCAGUUAUAUUGGUAACCUGACAUUUGAAACAUUCUAUCUUUACUUAUGCAGGUGGUGCAUUUUGUGUACAAGGAAGGGUCAGGCGAGAGCGAAAUGGCAAACAUUGUCGAGGUAACGUUACUGGAACACCACUGAAAAGUAAAGCUUGUCUCUCUAUUGGUUGUUGUGUUUGAAUGUUUUGGUUUCGGUACUACAGGCGUCGGAGUCGUAUGUCUCAGAUGAGAGAGUUGGGUUCGGCGAGCCAGCUCCAGGAGUGGAGCUCUACUUGUGCCCUCCUAACUCAAGAACAUGCGACUUGCUAAGCAAAGUCCUGCCGCAGGAUCAAAUGGACGGCCUUAAAUUGAUUGAAAAUGGUCUAAUUGGUGCUAUUGUAUGGAGAAAACCUCAAAUAAUAUCACCAUCGAACCAUAAGCACAAAGACUCCUCCAAAAAGCACUCGUCUUCCUCCUCUAGUAGGAGGCACCAUCAUAGUGAUGUCAUCGCUCGAAAUGUGAAACACCAUUCCAGGCCUCAACCCGGUAUGGCCGCAGUUGGAAAUGAUGACGAGGAUGAUGAUGUGCCUCCUGGGUUCGGUCCGCCUGCGGGUGGACCGAACCGGGACGAGGAUGACUUGCCUGAGUUUAAUUUCUCCAGUAAUAAGUCAGCAGCAACGAAUAAUAGGCCGGUUUUCCCUACCGGCCGUGUAGACCAAAUGAGAGAGCUUAUACAUAGAUAUGGACAGCCGGAUCGUGAUGUAAAAAUUGUCGGUGUUUCUGUACAGCCGUGGAAAGACGAUGAUGACGACGAUGAUAUGCCGGAAUGGCGGCCUGAAGACUCACAACGCCAUGUCGCGCCUCCUAGCAACUUGCGCAAUCAGCAACUGCCCAGUUUGCGACCCCACAUGGUCCAGCACCUACCGCCGCCUCCUCCUCUGCCAGGUUGGCCGCCACAUCAGCAGCAAGGUGGCUGGACUUCCCUGGCUGCUCCGAAUCUUCAGCAGCAGCAGCAACUGAACGGCGAAAGCCAGCUUUAUGGACAGCAAGGCCCGACCUGGCAGACGAGAGAUGCCCCGAAAAGUAGAGGCUUUUAGCUUUGCUGUUUUAGAUUGUAAAUAGUUGUUCUUUCCCCCUUUGUUUACUUUGUUAGUCCAGAUUAGGUCAUCUUUCAAUUUGGUUUCAUCUUUGUUUUCAUUACAUAAAUGGACUAGACAUCAAAUAUCUGAACAAACAUUUUGAACAUCAUCAUCCUAAGACAUUUUUUACGGCUGUUUUUUGCUCUGAGGUCAACUUAGUUGGAAACUUCACUUCAAACUUAACCCUCAAGUCUCCUCUCUUCCCCGGCUCUUUAGCUAUCGGCAUACCUUCCAUCGCGACCACAAGCUCGUAUCCGGGGCUUAUGAUGUCGUUCACCGGAAUCAACAAGCUACGCCCGUCCAAUGUGGCGAUCUUUACGGCGGUCCCUCCCAGGGCCUCCGCUAGCGUAACACGGUGGUUGAUAAUCAAAUCAUUUCCGUCUCUUUUGUAAACAUCGUGACGUUUCUCGUCGAUUACGAACACUAAGUCUGCCGGAAGCUGGUUUGGCUGCUCAUUCCCCUUAUCUGGGAAUGUUAUCUUUGUUCCCUUUUUCCAUCCUGGCUUCACAUCGAUCGUUAGUAUCUCUGUCUCCUGGGCUUGCUUCCUGUCCAAUUAAGUGAAAAAGUAAAGAGAUUUAUCAACCAAAAUGAACACCGGUCCGGAUUAGUAGGUAAAGAUUACGGCUUUUGAUUUGACAAGUGGAAAGUUGGAUGAAAUUUCGAGCAUUUUUCCAGCCGGACAGAAAAGUCAAAUCCCGUCGAAGUGAUUUUAAAGAACGAGCUUUCCAAUUGCCAUCUAAAUUCCAUCAAAAUUUUCCACCUGCCAAACCAAUUUCCGUAAAAUUGAUGGAUUACCCAUGGCAGCCAGCUACAGUUCUUGAGAUCUUCAUUUUUCUGGUGGAUCCAGAGUAGAGCUCCUUAAGGCUGCAAGGCAAUUUGCUCUCCACAGGUGGAGCCUUCUUCUUUGGCGUUUUGGAAUCUUCAUUAUCUGGUUGGAAUCUUGAAUAUGAUCUUGCUGGUUGGAAUCUUGAAAAUGGGCUGCUGCUCCCAAAAAACUCUGCAAAUAUAUCUUCAGCAUUCCUCGAAUAAUUGAAUCCUCCUCCAUCGGAAGGGAUGGUUUCGUUCAGCCCUUCUUCGCCAUACAGGUCGUAAUUCGCCCUCUUUUGCGGGUCGCUCAGUGCCUAGCAGCGAAAAUGGAUGUUAAGGAAUCAAUAGGGAGUGAAAAUCAAAGAAACCCAGAAAAUGUACUGUUUUUUUUACAUCAUAAGCUUGAGAGAUGUGCUUGAAUCUGGAUUCAGCAUCUUUCUUGUUGUUAGGGUUCUUGUCGGGGUGCCAUUUCAUAGCCAGUCUUCUGUACGAUCUCUUCAGAUCGUCCUCCGAUGCGUUCUUGCUCACCUUCAAUACCUCGUAGUAAUCUACACCCAUCUCAAAAGAAACAAACCCAGAAAGAAAGAAUGCCUGAAGAUCAGAUCUUUAAUGUUUCACAAGUUUUCCCAACAUUUGAACAUGUUUGAUUCUAGUCCGAGGUUGUUAUUAAUGGCAAUGGUGAACAAAUUCAGUACAAAAAAAGGAAAAAGGAAGCAUCUUUGGAGAGCUGGACAAGAAAAGAGUCAAAUUUUUGCUCAAAUUUGGAAUCUUUAUGUUCUGUUCUUCCCAUUGCAUACAAAACUGUACAAAAGAAGAAGAAAAAGAGAAUCUUUCUUGGCUAUACUGUAAACCUGAUUGAUACAUACAGGUGAAACAAAGAUAAAGACUAGAACUUUGGAACUUGACCAUCCAUUUGUCAUCUUUCGGUUGCGAGAUUCUCAUCGCCAUUUUCGUCGACGAUGGAUGCAGAAGCAUGAGGACUUCUAGCAGAGAUCCAUGAUUCCAAACUAUUAUCGUCAGGAGUAUAAGCACAGGAAUUCGAGAAGGGGUUCAUCUUGGAGCUUACUUGCGAGGCAAGCCAUUGAUUGCAUACAUACACCUUGCUUUAAUGCUUCCCCUAGCCUUCUUAACCGACAUUGAAUGUCCUGCGAUUAACGCAAUCGGAGAAAAAGCCAUGCCGGAACCAGUCUUGCUGGUGCUGGCGGACACAGAAUCAUGUCGUCCUGUGAAUCAUUCAAAAGUGUAUAUGAGCUGAUGCUGUCGUUUUUCUUUCGAGAUUCUUCUUCUUAUCGAGUCGAUACUUUUAUCUCGUAGAAUGAUAAGUAGCUUGUGCAGCAAGCAAGCUAGCUAGCUUCCUCUUCUUACCUUGGAAGAAUGAUAGCUAGAUUGACCAAUUUAGCCUGAUUUCUUGACAUCUGCAGCAAAAUUACAAUCAUGGAAGGGAAAAUGCAGAACAGGCUCAGCAACUCGACCAUAACUACAAAAGAAUUAGGCGAAAUAAAACACGUGAUCCAUUCAAGACACUUACAAACCUCAACGAGGUCCGAUUCCUAUUCCUAUUCUGAUUCGGAUUCUAAUUCUGAGUCAAGUUCAUCCAUGGAGGAAUAAUUUCACACCCUUCCUAUCACAAGCUCGCGACAGGAUAGAGUAUGACGUUCCAUCGGGCACAAAUCCAGAAUCCCUAAACUUCUCAAACACCCAGAUCACCAAAUCAAGCGAACCACACUUGCAAAGCUCAUCCAGUGCAACAUUAGGAGUCACUAUGCUUGGUUUAGGUCCAUUAACCAACAUAGAAUCCAAAACCUUCACACAUCUCAACACUUUCCCAACUCUGCACCAAUACCGUAUCAAGCAAGUCAAAGUCACGGCAUCAUGUCCGACCCCUUUUUCCUCCAUACGGUACCAGAUCCAUUCGACCAUUUCAUCAUUCUUCAGCUUGCAAGCACGAGACAGAAUGGUAUUAAACGAAACCACAUCAGGCUCGAACCGAGUCCACACCGCGAAAGCCAUGUUGAACUUGUUCUCUCUACAGAAUCCGUUCAGAACGAUGUUAUACGACACAUUGCUCGGAACGAAACCGAAACAUUCCCCAUACCCAGUUUCCAACCAAGACAACGCUUCUUCCGUUUGACUCUGCCUACACAAGCACUGAAGAUAUACAUUGAAAACCGCAACAUCAACACUAAAACCUUCCGAACUCGUAUCCAGCAAAAAUCCGGCAGCAUUCCGGACUCUCCCGUAUUUUACAAGUCCUCCAGCUAGCACAGCAAUGGUGUACGCAUCAGGACAUAAUCCACUCGAAACAAUCAAAUGUAGAACCCUAAAAACCUCGCACGUUCUAUCCAAACACGAUAAUUCUCGUAGAAUCACGUUAUAUACAAGCAAGUCCGGACUGAAUCCUUCAGCUUCCAUUAAACUCAAAUACCUCAAUGCCUCUUCCACCCUCCCGUUCUCGCACAAGAACUGAACCACGACAGUAUACGUAACGAGGCUAGCUUUCAAACCGCUCUCUUUCAUCUCAGCGAGACACAAACACGAGUCUUCAGAAUGCCCUUCUUUACAAAAUCCAUAACCCAAAGCUGUGUGUAAGAGCAGACAUCUAAUGGAACACCAUUCUUUUUCAGCCAGUAAGACAAUCUCAAAGCAGUAGAUCUCUGACCGGAUUUACAUAAAGACCAAAGAAUCGGAUUCGAAAUAUACACUCCAAAGAAGCAUCCUUUAGCAAGAACAGCUGAGAUUACCAUAUAUGCUUCAUGAAUCAUUCCUUUCUUACUAAACAUACAGAUCAACACAUUCAAAGAUGGCUCUGUAGGGAUAUAGUCCAACAUCAACAUGACUUCAAAUACACCAAGUGAAUGAUUCAAACUCUCGAAUUCCAUAGAUUUCUUCAGAAACUUCGAUAAAAGAGUGAAUGAUGGUAAUAAGCCACUGGAGAACAUCACUUCCAUGAUAAAGAAUGCAACUUUGAAAUUCCCAACGGAUACCAAACCAUUGAUGAGUAAAUUAAAAGUUAUGGCAUUCAGUUGUAUCCCUGAGCUGCUCCGGAUUUCACAGUAAACUUGAAGAAAAUUUUCCGAGAAAGGAUUCCCGCCAUGAUUCAAAUAACUGUGGUAUAGAGCGUUGUAAUCGUGAACAGUUAGCUUACUUGGGAAGCUUCUCAUCAAGUCCAGAGAGCUUGCUGGAGGUCGCAGGAAGGGGCGUGGCUCCGCAUACUAUGCUGAAAUUCCUCGAAGGUGAAAUUAUUGGAAGCUCCAUUGACGGAUUCGACUGAUUGGAGAGCACAAGAGGAGAAAGAAGCGAGCUUGGAGAAAAGGAGGGAGGAGAAGCUGCGGAUUUUGAGCUUGGAGUGGCUAAUUGAUGAAGUGGAACAUAAGGGCAUGGCGCGGGAGAGGGAGAGUUUGAAGUAUGAGCUCGACGGGGAGCGGGGGAGCUGGCUGAGGAGGAACCAUGUGGCUGAGGAGGAACCAUGUAGAAGAAAAAUGCCCGCCAAUGAUGGAGUUUGUAGCAGAGCUGAGAAAGGGUUUAAACACUGCGAUUCAACAGAAAACGACAUCGUACGAAGGACAUCAACUGUUCGUGGGCCAAAUGAAAUUGGGUCGUAAGAAGAGUAUUCUGAAGUUUUGAUCUGCUUUUUUUUUGGGCCCAAAGUUAGUUUUGAAAUAAAACCUAAUGUAGAGCUGGCGGCAACUUGCCGAUCAGGGGUGUUAUAUAUUUAAUUCUGACGGUUCGGUCUAUAUUCAUCCAGUUUUGAUGUCGGUGGCAUUAUUCGAGAUGAUAGAGGACACUUUGUGAGAACUUUUAAUUCGAAUUUGGAACGGUGUUCUAUUUUGCGAACAUAGCUCAUUACAAACUGAUUCCAAAGCAGCGGUCGAGGUUCUUAAAGAACCAUUUAGACUUGACCAUUAAAUUUGCAGGUGUGGCUCUUGAUUUUUGGCGGCCAUGUCAACUGGACUUUGGAGGUGUCUCUUCUCCAUCGUAUUAAUCGCGAGGCGAAUUAUGGCGCGAAUUAUAUCGCUAAAUUAGGGUCAUACUUUUGAUAUUAGUACUUUGUUUUUCCUUUUUUCGGAUAACAAUUUUAAGGGUUGGUAUGAUCUUGUUGACGAUAGCCUUCCCUGUUGUUUGUAAUUUCUAGGGAUUUCUAGCGAUUAAGAUUCAUUUGUUAGCAUCAAAGAUUCUUUUUUCUUGUGGUCGAACCUCAUUGUAGUUGUCAUAUAACAAAGAUUCGGAAAAAAAAGAGUAUAUAUAAUAUACUAGCUCCAACAUUUUAUAAAAACAAUUCCUUUAUAAACUAAUUGUAGGUUAGUGCUGUUGAACUAUUCAAACUUCAAAAACUGUUUGAUUUUUUCAAAUUGGUUUUUUUUACGGUUCAUCGAUUUAACUGAAAAGGUAAAAUAGUGAUUCCUUGUAUAACCUAUGUAUAUAAGUAGUCACGACUUAUAAGUUAAACAAGUAUAAAUAUCGAGUUACAAAUAUUUUGUUAAUGUGUUUCUUAUUCAAUAUUUGAUUUUCGUACAACAAUAAUGUUUAUCGAUUUAAUCUUCGUUAAACUUCAAAAUCUUAAAUGAUCUCUCGUAUAUCUGAUUCGACGUCUGGUCCAAUUUGAACAACAUUUGAUGGGUUAAUCUGCUUGCAGCUUCUUCACACAUUCUUCAAUAGCAGGCGCCGUAUAUAUAUUGACUUGAAUAUGAUAAAUAAAUUAAGUGGACACAUGGUCGGAGAAGUCGUGUGUACAACUUUUGAGGAGUCUUGAACCCAAAUUCUAAGUAGCAUUUUGGAAUAGAUUUAUUGACUUCAAAAGUUACAACAAAAAAAGUAAUUAUAUCUCCAUCGUUGAUAAAUCAACGAUAAAAAUGUGCCUUAUAUAACGCCUUAUGUAUACGGAUUUGAUUGUUUUAGACGUGUCCGGAAGUCCUUUGGCACAUAAUUUAUUGUUCCGCCUAACAGAUCGAUUGGGCCAAUAAUGUAAGUGAGUGACCUUCAUUACGAUGGGACGCCUGAGAAUCUUUGACGGGGCAAGGGAUAGUACGAGGGAACAUAAGGAUAUAAGCAUAUUGAAUAUGAGAAAGAGUGAGACAGAAUUAAGUAUCAUUGUUGUGUAUCCUAUUUUAGGUGGGGUCUGUUUGCAUGUAGCACAGUGCGGACGUACAUCAUAGGUGUAUAAUUCUUGUCUAGUAGGAUGUUUUCGUCUUAAAUGGGGAGGGUGUGGAGCCUUUUAUGUAGUCAUGGUGGCACAAUUCUAGCCUACACGUGUCACAUCAAGAGUGAUGGAGACCAUAGGCUAGAUCUGAAUCGUAUAAUAUUAGACAGCCAUGAGUUGCCUAAGUCCGUAUAGAGGAAUAUGGGUCGGCGACAUGUCCCAGCCGUAGCGUGUUUCUGUCACUUGAUGAGGAAAAAUGAUCCCUGAUAUAGGUGAGUAUACGAACUUGUCCUAUCAAUGUGACAGAUAUGUAAGUCCAUCCUCCGAUUUGCAGGGUUGAUUCGACUGCUAGACCGCGGCCCACCCUGCCUUUGAUUAGCCCUGUGAGUUUAGGUUGUGAACCAUCAAUAACAAACAAGAGUAGGAAAUCUUGUUUUAAUAUCAAGUAAAUUGAGGUAGACGGGAAAAAAGGAGUGCAAAAAAGAACUCGUGAAGAUUAAACCGAUGUCCCAAAUUUUUACCAAACCAUGUGCAACCAACCAACCAAACCAUGUUCUUACAUGUAAGUUAUUGUAUAUUAAUCUCUUUUCACACCAUUUUGAAACCAAUUUGUAAGGGUUUUGAUGGUUAUUGUUAUUAAGAAUGUAUGUAAUUUUGACUAUAAAAAUUUUAGUUUUGAUUUUUAGCGGUUUCCCCAUUACAUACAUGCAGAAUUUAGAAAUUUUCUACACUAACAUAACACCAAGUAAAAUUAAUUUUUAACUUCAUUUAUCCAUUAUUUACAAGGGUUAUCAUAGUAAAACUUGAUUAUUUUAGCCAUUUCCAACAUGCAUGUCAAAUAUGAGCCGAUUUGAAAAUUUUGAAAUUUUCAUGUCAAAAUGGCUCAUUUCCAUNNNNNNNNNNNNNNNNNNNNNNNNNNNNNNNNNNNNNNNNNNNNNNNNNNNNNNNNNNNNNNNNNNNNNNNNNNNNNNNNNNNNNNNNNNNNNNNNNNNNNNNNNNNNNNNNNNNNNNNNNNNNNNNNNNNNNNNNNNNNNNNNNNNNNNNNNNNNNNNNNNNNNNNNNNNNNNNNNNNNNNNNNNNNNNNNNNNNNNNNNNNNNNNNNNNNNNNNNNNNNNNNNNNNNNNNNNNNNNNNNNNNNNNNNNNNNNNNNNNNNNNNNNNNNNNNNNNNNNNNNNNNNNNNNNNNNNNNNNNNNNNNNNNNNNNNNNNNNNNNNNNNNNNNNNNNNNNNNNNNNNNNNNNNNNNNNNNNNNNNNNNNNNNNNNNNNNNNNNNNNNNNNNNNNNNNNNNNNNNNNNNNNNNNNNNNNNNNNNNNNNNNNNNNNNNNNNNNNNNNNNNNNNNNNNNNNNNNNNNNNNNNNNNNNNNNNNNNNNNNNNNNNNNNNNNNNNNNNNNNNNNNNNNNNNNNNNNNNNNNNNNNNNNNNNNNNNNNNNNNNNNNNNNNNNNNNNNNNNNNNNNNNNNNNNNAUAUAUAUGUAUAUAUAUACUACCUACCAACCUGCCAAUUAUCAAAUUGUGAUUUUUUUUCAAAUUGUAAAAAAAAUCUCCAUAGGAUUACUAUUUGACGCCCUAUCUUUUGAAUUAAUUGACGCCCUAAACUCCGUAAAGACGAAACUAUCCAAAUUUACUUAUUCGAAAAACUUCGUAAAAACGAAACUAUCUGAAUUUACUCAUUCAAAAACCUCUCUCACGGUACGUGUCUCCUUACAAUUCGGUAAAUUUUAGCGGGUGGGAUCAAAAAUUGGGCCGACAAGCAUCCCGGCCGACGGCAAAUUUUGGUCGCAGGUAGCCCCGACCGGCUGUUUCGGCCCCCAGUGUUGCCAGCCGAAACAGUCGGCCGACCAGGAGGCUUCGCGGCCAAAUUUUCGGUUCCGUCGGGUGGUCCUCUGACCGAAUUUUUUUUCUAUUUUCUAACGAUCUCCUUUAAUAAUUUUUCAGAUAAUCACAUUCUUCACAUGGUUUUAACGUUCGUUGGAUGCACUAACUCGACAUGAACAAUUCGAUAAGUGGUCGAUAAUUUUGUUGUAGAAAUAAUUGAAUUAAUACGAAAUUUAUAGAUAAUUGAUAAAUGAAGCAUUUGUUUUGUGUGUUUAUAAUGUACCGAGAUUCAUCGGUGAGUAAGGGUGAUGGAAUCAAUUACACCAAACACUUUUUAUCUGUUGAUGUUCACAAUACUGCCGAGGAAGCUUGUGAACCUGCUAAGCGAAUUGCCCAGACACUUAAUUUCAAGUUGACUAAAGGAUCCAACAAAAUAAACUAGGUAGAGCGAGAGUACCGUGUAUAUCUAUAUUGCUCCCGGGGACCUGCUCGUAAAUCCUAAUGUACCGACCCGCCGAAAUGGAUUACGAAGAUGAAGAAGUGUGACUGCCCCUUCAAACUGGCAGUGACGUGUCAGGUCGCAGGUGACGAGUGUAAGUUAUUUAUUGACGGUGUAGGCCACACCAACAAUCCUACAGUCCGGUCAGCAUUUCAACCCGAGUCAGAGGGGUUCAAGGAGCCUAAGGUUUCUGAUGCUCCUAAAGGUAGACAUCGUGCUAGAAAGACCGACCGUCGGAAUUCUUCUUGGCAUGAGCAUGCUAGUGCGCAAUGUACUCCACCCAAGAGUAAAGGUAGUUCGACUCGAUCUACACCUUCGAACACUAGCUCGACUCCAGGCUUACCACUUCCCACUAGAGGUAUGUUAAAUAGUUGAUACCGUAUUUGCGAUCUCGUUUACUGUAACUUUCUUACUCAUGUUUAUUUUUGUCGUCUACUGUUUGACCGUUUUGGCAGUACAUCUCAGAGGGUUUGCACGGCAUGCUGAGUGACGUGUUUAACCCACACGGUGAUGGACAUUGUGGAUUUUGGUGCAUUUCAUACAUAGUUAUGCCCGACGACGAUAGUCAGUAUGUUGACAUGCGGAGACAGUUAAUGGAACAGGUUACGUUGAAUUGGUACGAUCUGUAUAGUAACGUGUAUAACACGGACUUGAAUGGCGUCAUUCACCGGUUAGGUUGGCUCUGGGAGACACCAUGUGAUGAUCCAUGGUGAUUCUGGAACGCGGAUCUGUUAGGUCAUGCCACUAUAUUUAACUGGACAUUCAUCAUUUUUAGACCUGUUUACGAGGGUUACCGUAUGAGGAGACAUACCUACUUUGAUUGUACAAGAGGGCACAGUGGCACCAGCUGGGGUGUCGUACAUAGUGUGUACCGGUGAAACACUAGGUUGUGCUCAUUUUAGAUGAUGAUAUUCGGGUCUUACCCAUCCCGGGUAAGUCUUUGUUUUGGAGCUAUUGGGCUCAAUACCGAGCUAAACAGAUGUGGCAACAUGACUUACACCUGGCCGAGCAUACAGAGUACGCACGGCUGAACCCGCAGGUCUUGUCCUUGAAUUUAGUGUAUCUAAUUGUCGGACUUUAAUAAUAACCUCUCUUAUUAUUAACCAGUUCCUCUAUUGUGUCUGUGACUUGAUGUUACGUUAAUGGAUUAACGGUUUGUUUUUAUUUUAUUAACAACAUAAUCGUCUCAAACAGUUAGUGGGGCCGGCCGAACAGACGUUAAGGCAGCACUGGGGCUAUCCGGACGGUCAUUUCGGCCCGCACUGGAAAUAACCGGCCAGCCGGCCCCUAGUGCCGACUGAAACAACCGACCGGCCGACCCCAAUGACUAUGGAUUCUAGACUUUUUGGGGGGUUAAUUGUGUGAUUAAUUGAACGGGAAUGGUAUUAAUGCGAAAAGAGGACAUAAUAACACUUAAAUAACUCGAAUUCUGAGUUAUUGGGUCCAAUGGUACUAAACUUAAGUGCGAAAAUGAAACAAAACACUCAGCUAUAACGUAUGAGGCAAGGAAAGUACAAUAAAGAGAGUCUCUAAUCACGACGACCUUCUCUCUAGCGCCGGUAGCCCACAUACAAGUCCUCAAACUGAUGGCGCAUUCCCACCAUAUGAUCGUAGUACUCCUGCGACAAGUCUAUGUGUUGCUCCCCCAACGUCCCAUUGAAAUAGGUAGUCAUACCAUCAAAGAUCCGAUGAGAAAUCUGUGCACAGACAUAAAAUAACAUUUAAUGUAACGAAAUUUACAUACUCUAAACCCAUUAGAUAAAAAGUAAAAUCAAACUUACUAUCUCAGGAGGAACGCCUACAACAGACUCAACCGGCGCCACGAUGCACGGUGACUUUGCUCGAGAUACCAGUCCAUGUACCCUGGAGCCACAUCCUCCCCGGCCACUGCUCUCUGGAACAUAAGGUGGAGCCGGUGAAUUUAGAUGAACUCCUGAUCCGACCAAGUCCUAUCCUCCGUUGUGGCUCACUAGACCGCAUAGUUCCAAAUCGUGCGAGGCCUAUUAGCUCGCAGCGGCGCAACAAUCGAGGGAGGGACAACCUACGUGUACCCGAACUAUCUGAGAACAUGGUAGGAAUCGUAGUACUCACCAACGUCGGUGCAGCGAAUGAGUCCACGAAAAGUCGACCCGGGAACCUCGACAUUGGGGUGGGCCCAAAUGGAAGUCAAAUCACAUCACAGGGAUCCAUGUUAUCGACGAGGCGCCGGUAGUACUCUAACCUCUCUCGUAGGACUCCUCCACCCCUACUAGGUGUCUCGACACUGUGCCAUCUGCCAGAUAACGUAGCUCCCGCCCUACGCUCCUAUCGAACCAUCCUGGAAGGUCGUACAUUGGGAAAGUACUCGUAAAUCUAGGACUGCAGCAACGUAACACAGCCUGACAAUGCCUUCGCGUCCGCAUGGCUAGCGUUCCCAAGUUCACGGUACAACCAAACUAGCACACCAGCACGUCAAGUGUACUUUAGUACAUUACUAAUCAAACCCGUGAAGUACUCCCAACUUAGAAGGCGUGAUCGAUCUGCAAAUCUAUCCUGAAAUAGAGUAGCUCUGAGAAGAUCGAAAAAGAAUACCUUAUAGGCAGUCUCAUCCCCCAUAUGCUUGCCGAUCGAGAUCAUGUCCCUCUCGUACAAGGCGAGGGUGAUCGUACAAUGGUUGGCCAACAGUCUCGCCCCUAACCGGAUGCUCCAACGCAGUAGCAGACCCAAACCCAAGCAGCUCAGCUACACCCGCCCUCAAAUCAACAAGAGCUCGGGGUUUAUGAAGCGGUCAUCCAGCCACCGCGACCCGAAGAAUGUGGUAGACGUCGUACAAAGUGAUCGUUAUCUCCCCCCACGGCAUGUGAAAGGUGUUUGUAUCGGACUGCCACCUCUAAACAAAUGUAUCGAGAAGAGGCUCAUCAAGGUGGGUCGACAUGCACUGACCCAAGUGAAGAAGUCCCGACUCCUGCAUGAUCUGACAAAUGGUCUUCAUCUGGAUGUUGAAGUCGCUCAUCGUGUUUCAUUGUUUGGGGCGCUUCUGGAAUCUGAAGCUCUUCAUAUGCAUGUAUCCUCUCCAGACUGUCACCAUCUGAAAGUUGGGGAUCAUUGUCGGCCUCCUCGGUCCACCAUCUAGAAGCUCUGUAGUAAGCUCUCAAGUACAAUCGAGUCCCUCCCAAUCGACUCCACUUGCAACCUCCUCCUCUCGUACCCGCACAAGUCGGCUAGGUUCCCUCCUCUAACACAAACACUCGCAGAGGCAUGUGACGAGCCUGUAGAAGCGAUGUGCGGAGAUGUCGUGUUCGGAGAAGCCAUGUGCGCGAAAGUCCGUGUCUCCUUGUAUUCAAACCCCGGCGGUGGACCAUCAUCCUCGUCAUAAUCUUCCGGAAAUGCCCUAACCUGGUACGUAACAGGAGGGUACCAGUCAGGGGAGCCGUAGAUUUUCAACUUCUUGUUCUUCUUCGCAGUCUCUCCCUCUUUUCGCCUCGAAGCGGUGAUCACUCGCUCUUUCAUCCGAUCUAAAAUGCCUGCUUGCUUUCCUUUCCCUCUCAUUUUCUGGAUCUCAUCUGUUUCUUCCUCUAUCGGAUCUUGACUGUACGAUUUACCUCCAUCCUUUAUCUUCGCCAUCUUUUUCAAGAAACUGCAUUUAAAAAAAUAAACAUUUCUAAUAAAAUUCGCAUUCUGCUAAACUAAAUUCACUUACUAUUCCUAACAAAAUCCUAAACCCUCACUAAUGAUGAUCUAAUUAUCCUAAUUACUCACAAACAAUUAACUAAUUACACUAAUCACUAACUAUAAUUAUUUAAUUAUCCUAAUUACUCACUAAACAUUAUCUAAUUAUACUAAUCACUCACUAACAAUUAUCUAAUUAUCCUAAUUACACAAAUUAAAUAAAUUAACUAUAAAAAAUACCCGGCCGGCCGCCUGAUUUUUCCAGCUGGCAACUUGCCUCGGCCGAAAUCGGCGGCCAGCUGGGGCCUUUCUCGGUCGAAUCGGGCAGGGCCUCCUAUGGCCUGUUUUCAUGAAAAUUGAAAAAUAUUUGACAAGCAUAUUGAGAAUAACUAAAAAUUGAAGUUUCUCCAUGUUAAAUUCUUCAUAAACAAAGUUAAAAAAGAGUUUUAAAGUGUUUUGAUUUUUUAUUAUUGUUAGUGGAGAUAUAUGUAGGACUAUCAUUAUAGAUCGGUUACUAAGUUAAUUAUUUUAAUCAGUAUCGUUUGGUUAAUUCACAUACAUGUUGGGGUUAAUGCACAUAAAAGAGAGUGUGAGAGAUAGAGAAGUAUCAAGUGGGUGCCUAUAAACAUAUAUGGUGGUACCUAAGGCAUAUUAGCUUAGUAGAGUGUCCGAAACUCCGAACUUUAGACAUGAGUGAAUAAUUUAUGUAUUCAAUAAAAAAAACCAUCUUUCCUUCUAUAAUUUCUUGAAAGCUGAAUUGAAAGUUGAAUCAGAGGUUAUUACAUUUUUUCUAGUUGGUUGGUGAUUAAGGUUGGAAUGAAUCUCGAUCAUUAAUAAUAAAAUUAAGGUUGAAAUUGUCUUUAAGAGCACCUUCAUCCUAAACAAAAAUGAUGAUUGCAAUUUAACAAAUAAUAGAACCUUCCGACAACAACCACUGUUAUAGCUGAACUAGGUUUCGCCUACUUGGCUAAGAGAGAAUCUAAAUAGAUUAGAACCGGUCAGGUGAGCAGCUCCGGCCGGCGGCAGGCCGCAAUACCAUUUAGCAACGUGGUACUGUUAGCCGCCGGUAAGCUAUGAAUAUAUAAUAGCCGCCGGUAUUCAAUACUGUUAUAUUAUUUUAAAAACAAUAGUACAUGAGUUGGUUUCACCUAAUCAAGAUUCAAGAGUACAUUGUUUUUUAUUAACAUACUCCUACAAGUUGGACCUUGAGCUAAUUAUCUGAUCAGAUUUAACCGAUAAGAUAUUAUUCGGUAAAUUUAAGUAUAGAUUUUAACAAAUGUGGUUAAUCAUGCCACGUAUAUUGAUUUAUCUCUUCCGUUAUUGAUGUAAGAUUUCUUUUUACAAUUUGAUUAUUUGAUAAACAGUGACGAGUCUAAACCAGUAUGACCAAUGAGAAUUAGUUGUUUGCGACGUUGAGCCAAGUGUGUGGAACCUUCGACAACUUUUGGGAAUCCUAUGCAAAGCUAGAAACUCUGGCUAGAGCAGCAUGCUCGAGCCUCAAUUUUUAUUUAUAAAAGAAAAAAAUAAAUUAUUAUUCAAUAAAUAGUAUUUGGUUUUUUUAUAAAAAUUUUAUUUUGAGUUCAUUAAGACUUUAUUUUGAAUUUACUGCGGCUUUAUUUUGAGCUCACAUAUUACCCUUUAUGGGUCAUGGUAUUUUCCAUUUUUCAAAUGACAUGACUUAAAUUGUUUCGCGCUUUCACUUUGCUAAUGCGUUUUUUAUAACAAAAAAAACUCUAUCUAUAAAAGGAGAACAUGAAUUACUAUUGAAUGAAUAAAAUUUGGUCGGGCUUUAUUUGAGUUUAUUGGGGUUUUAUUUUGAGUUUACUGGGACGUUAUUUUGAAUUUAUGGGGGAUUUAUUUUGAGCUCACAUGUUACCCUUUAUGGGUCUUGUGGUAUUUUCCAUUUUUUAAUUGACAUGACUUAAAUUGUCUCGCGCUUUCACUUUGCUAAUACAUUUUCUAUAACGAAAAAGAGUUCAUUUAUCUCCACUUAUUCUCUAUAACUUUUUGCAGUAUCGCGCAAAUAAUUGUUGUGAACAAUAAAAGGAGUUUAAAGAUCAUUGUUUAAUUUCUUCCUAACACUCGUUUCUUUGCGAGAGAUUUAUAUUUGGUCAGACUUCAAAAAAACGAAUUUUACCAAACAACUUACUCAAAUUGGUUCUCCAAAUCAGACCGUAUUGUGAUUCAACGGGAGGUAACAGAUAACAAUAUUGUAGAACCAAACUAGCAAGUGAUUUGUUAACGUGGAAAACCAAAACAUUAGACAAAAUCGAAAGGUGUGUGAGAAUAAAAAAAAAAAACAAGCUUCUUCCCAACUGGUCCUAUAAUAUAACAAAAAGAUAUAUGAAUACUAUUAGUCUUCAGAAUUCAAACAAUAAUGUCAAUACAUUACACCACAAGCAAAACAAAGCCAUUGGUCACAUUUUUCUCUUAUAAUUAUCUUCUAACUUUUUCCCUAACAAACUUCAUUGGGAACCUUGGCAAUUUCGACUCGGUUGAUAUGGUCCGAUUCAUUUUUGAACGAAUAAUCGUGUACAAUAUAAAUAAGUAUGAGUCUUGGUCUGAUUCAUUAUCGAUUCAUUAUACAAAAUUUAUAAGCAUAACAGCGGCUAUAAUCUUAUAUUAUGACGGUUAAAAAUUGUUUGGAGCUUAACUUAGAUUUAAAAAAAUUAAAUAUGUUGAUUUUAUCAUUUUAUUUAGCAAAAAGAAUUACUCUAGAUAUCACAAUAAAUACUAUUACCCUUAUUUUAUGGAGGCAUUGUACCUACAAGAUUAAAUUAUAAUAGUUUUUUUUAUCAUUUAUAAAAGAUUGUAAUUCUCAACUAUCUUUUAAAUGGAGAAAAAAUGCUUUUUAAAUCAUUUGUACAUACAAAUGUUAAGUAGGGGUAAACAUUCGGUUAUGGAUAAUUGAUUAAAAUUUAUUUUGAAACCUAUACCGUUGAUUAAUUAAUUAAAGGUGAGACUUUUUUUAACCGAACUGAAUUUUGCCAUACUCUUUUGAUAUUUUGUUAAUACACCUAUUUUGAUUGACUUUUAUCAGUCAAUUGUAUUUAAUUAACUGGCCAUCAUAUGUAGGUCGAUUAAUCAGUUAACUUAUAUUUAUUUUAUUAAAAUCUUAAUCAACCGAUGGAUAGUCGAUUAUUGAGAUACCCGCCUGAAACAAACCGAACUGAACCAUCCCACUCCUACCUCUCACCUCAUUCUCCACAUUUUCUUCUCUUUUCCCCCAAAUGAAUAAUUUUCUUUCCAUCCAAGUCUAUAAAUAGUUGAUCAACCAUCUUGACAAAAUAGACAAAAUCCUAAGCUCAAAACAGAACCCCCUUGGCAUCCAACCAAAAGCCGAAACAGAGAGAAAAUGGUUGUCUUCAAAGGUUCCAAAUGGAACCCAAACCUCCUCCUAAGCUGCUUCAAGCCCAGAGAUUCAUCAUCAUCACCAUCUGAUCAUCACGAUCCGAAAUCUACGAAGAACAAUCACAAGGUAUGUUCAAGAAGAAUCUCACUGUUGGACUGGAGCAACCCGGAAUCUCAGCUCUCAGUGAUGAGCGAUCUCUCAAACCCUGUCUUCAACCUCCACAUCUUCACCCUCAAGGAGCUUCAAAAAGUCACCAGCAACUUUUCGAGGAGCAAUUACCUCGGAGAAGGCGGGUUCGGAGCAGUGUUCAAAGGGUUCGUGGAUGGGAAGAUCCGGCCCGGUUUGAAUGCUCAGCCUGUUGCUGUCAAAGUUCUUGACUUGGAUGGUUCCCAGGGCCACAGAGAAUGGCUGGUAAAUUAUUUAUAAAGAUUCAAGCUUUCUGGAGUAAAAAGAAAUGGGUCUUUUAGGCCGCGUUUUCCGCUCCUUAACCUUCCAAUUCCGGCUGGAAUUCGGAUUAAAGGUUCGAGCUUUCUGUAAAAAAGAAGAAAUGGGUAUUUUUUGCCACGUUUUCCACUCCUUAACCUUCCAAUUCCUUCUGGAAUUCGGAUUACAGAUUCCAGCUUUGUGUACAAAAAGUCUUUUCUGUUUUCUUGGCAAUGAAGUUUCAAUCUUUUGGGUUUUUUCUGAGGGUUUUGUGGAUGAUGUUCUUGGUGUGGUUUUUCAUGUUUGGUUUCAUUCGCGAAUCCUUUCGGAUUCAGACUUUUGUAGACUAUGAAAUCGGAAAUUGCAGAUAGAGGUUUCAAUCUUUGUAGUAAAAUUUGACUCUGUGCAGGCAGAGGUGAUAUUCCUAGGACAACUGAAGCAUGAACAUCUGGUAAACUUGAUUGGACACUGCUGUGAGAAUGAACAGAGGCUUCUGGUUUAUGAGUACUUGGAGCGUGGGAAUCUUGAGCAUCUCCUUUUCAGAAGUAUGUGUUGUCCUUUAUUGAUUUCGGUGUGGAAAGGUUUUCAUUUCGGUUCGAUUUUUGUUGUUCUUGGCUGAUUUGUGAACUUGGGUUAUAUACAGGGUAUACAGCUUCACUUCCUUGGCUAACAAGGCUGAAGAUUGCUGCAGGAGCAGCCAAAGGGCUUGCUUUCCUUCAUGAAGAGGAGAAACCGGUCAUCUACCGCGAUUUCAAGACUUCCAACAUCUUGCUCGACUCGGUAAGCAAGAAUAUUACCAGAGUAAUGUAACAAUUCAAGUUGUUGGGAUGUUAAACAGUUCAAUUUUCCCAUGUCAGGACUACAAUGCAAAGUUGUCGGAUUUCGGGCUGGCAACAGACGGGCCAGAAGGGGACGAAACCCACGUUACGACUCAAGUGAUGGGCACAGAGGGCUAUGCAGCGCCCGAGUACAUAUCAACAGGCCAUCUCUCAUCCAUGAGCGAUGUGUUCAGCUUCGGCGUGGUGCUACUAGAGCUGCUAACCGGUCGGAGGUCAGUGGACAAAACCCGGCCGCCUAGAGAACAAGUGCUUGUGAAAUGGGCAAGACCAUUCCUCAAGGACCACCAGAGGCUUGACCAGAUCAUGGACCCGAGGCUAGAAGGGCAGUACUCGGUCGAAGGCGCGAGGAAGGCUGCCGCACUGGCUAGUCAAUGCUUGAGCCACCAUGCCAAGUGUAGGCCAAGUAUGAGCAAAGUUGUGAAGACCUUGGAGGGCUUGAUGGAGUUGCAAGAUGACAUUCAAGUUGGUUUCUUUGUGUACAUUGUCCCCGUGGAGUGUAAACCCGAGAAAGGUACCGUUGUGAUGAAGUGCUCGGAGCAGAGCGAUCGGAAUGCUAAUAAGGAAGAAUCAAAGCAAGAGAAAGUUAGAGGGAGGAGGAGGAAGAAGAAGGGUACUAAAGCUGUAGUUCAUUCUGAUACAGAUUUGUACAAAAGAUUAGGGACUAGUUUGUACUCUCCUAAGACAUUACAAAGGUGAACUUAGGAACUACAAUUAUAACUAGUUAUACACAAAGAAAGUUGCAUAGGUUUUGUUAAUUUCCUUGAAGAAUUUUUAGUUUUCCGUCACAAAAUGGCUGUCUAAUUUUGUCGGAAUUCUGUGCCAAGUUGGCUGAUGUUGUAACACAUGAUUUAGAUUUGCCUAGUUUUGUGAUGUGUUUCUAUCCACUUGCUUCGUGUCCCCUAAUGAUGAUGAAGUUUGGUACAAAAGGAUAUAAAGAAUAAUCCACUAAUGUCAACCAUUGCAUAGAGUAACCUGAAAUAUGGAGAUUGACUUGCAAUAUGAUGUCGGGACGGAUAUAUACUGAAUUCGAGGUAGCACACAAUUAAAUAUAAAUAUUAUUGAAAACCAUGAUACUUUACACUCGUCUAAGGUAUUUUAGACUUACCCACUUAUCCUUGUAUAUGUUUCUGAUACCAAUUUUACUGUGCAAAUUGAUAUUUCUAAAGCCAUCAAAUUAAUAAGACUAGCCUUUAAGGAUUGAAUGAUAAAUAUGUGAAAAAACCAUGAUAAAAUAUGCUAAUUUGAUGUUUGAUAGGUAAUCAAAACCGGUUUCAGCACGAUUUUAGAACCACAAACACACCAUUUUUGUUUACUUUUUUAGAGCAAAAUCUAAUAUCUUUGUAAUGAUGAACUUGUUCAUUUUUUUCUUCAGUCAAGAACUCCAAGCUAAGCUAAGUCACAAAUUGGAUGGUUAAAGGAAUCUAGUACACAAAUAGACCUCCACUAAAGACCCAAAUGGGUUAAUUCCUCAAAAAAUAAAUGGGUAUAAUUCAAAAUUUCCACCCCACAAACACACCAACCCACUCAAGGGCUUCUGAGUCAGAUCUUAGAACAAAUGGCUGGUUGCCAUUUCCAAACAUUUCCAAGUCUCUUAUGGAAAUAGGAAGUUGUGUUUCCAUUCUUGGUGACAUACCUAUAGUCAAUAAUUUGAUGUGGUGGCCCCGUUUCAGCUCCCAGGGCCAUCUUUAUAGCAGUUAUUGCUCAUUGAUGGUCCCUGACCCUAAGAUCUUAUCUUUUGUAAGAAUAUGUAACGUUACGGAUGAACAUUUUUAAAACAUCACGGGCCAACCAGAGCUAAGGAAUUGCUAAAUGUUGUCCAAACCGUUAAAAUAGUGUACCAAAUACAUCUAAUAUUGAUGUGAUCAGCUAUUGACUCCUUAUUAGUCCGUUUUGCGUAUAUAUGGAGAAAUUCAAAAUUUGAGACUCACUGAUCCAACUGGUAAGACCGUCGACUAAUGUAGUGGAGCAACAUGUAUCUAUAUAGGUUUUAAGUUGGAUUCUAACUUCUCUUUAAGAGAAGGUAGGAAUUUAAUAUGGGAAAGAUCCAAAUUCGUGGUGGAGCACAAAUUAAAGUUAUUUUUUUAUUAAAGUACAGAUAUAUUAAACGUCUAUCAGAAAUGAUGAAAGAAACAUCUUCACGUCACCAAUUAAUAUAGUUGUUCGAAGAAUAAGAUGUCUAUCUUAAUUAUAAAAAAACCCUUAAUAGGAAAAAUAUGUUUUAAAAUAUCCUUACACAAACAAACAAUUCAUAGGUUGUUGGUACAUGUGGAAAAACAAUAUUAGGGCUUGAUUUUGUGAGAAAUGGGAACCUGAAGAAAGCCUCAAUUUUGACCUAAAAAGGUUAAAAGAGACUAAGGACCAGUGAAGAAAGAAAAUUUCCAGAUGACUUAUGGCAUCGAACAAAAAGGUAAGAGCCAAAGUCCAUAAAACCAUAGUCUAUGGUGGAUACGUACUAUUUGCGUGUUCUUUGUACAAUGUGUACAUCUCAUAAUUUAUAUUUGUUAAUAAAGUAUUUUGUCGAAUUAUUUGUCUGUCAGUAUCGAAAUCAAAUAAAAUUCUGAAUUUUUAUUUCUCUAUACAUAUUACCCCAACAACCCCCACUAUGAGCUUUUCUUCUAUGAGCUUUUUUUCUAAUCAAACCAAUGACAAGGAGCAGGUGUUUCAUUUGAAAGCUCCCCACACCAAAUUUUUAUUAAAAUAUCUCCAAUUUUUCUUGAGCAUGAACCCACCCAUGUAUAUGGGAUGAUAUCCCUCAUCAUGCAUGUACAUUUUCGGUAUGUGACAAAAUAGUUUGGAAAAAGUGAUGUAAUCCGAAUCGGACCGAAUAUUGAAAUCGGAUGAACGAGAAGUUUAAGAGUUUGAGGUUCAAUCAGGGUCAAGCCUUCAAAAAUCUCCUUUGAAGAACUGGUCAUGUUUGUUGUUAUAUGAAAAGUAAAUAUUAGAUGAAUACGUAUAAGAAUUCUAUCUAUAAAAGGAGAAUAUAAAUUAUUAUUGAAUGAUUAGUAUUUAGUUUUUUUAUGAAGACUUUAUUGAAUUUAUUAUGAUUUUAUUUUGAGGUCACAUAUUAUCAUUUAUGGGUCUUGUAGUAUUUUUCAUUCUUCAAUUUACAUAAUUUCAAUUGUCUCACGCUUUCAUUUUACUAAUACAUUUUUCUAUAAUAAAAAAAGUCCAUCUAUCUUCAUUUAUUUUCUAAAAUUUAAAAGUUCUAACUAUUUUCUAAAAUUUGAAAAUUCUAACUAUAAUAAUUUAACAUUCAUAAUUGUCUAUAUAUUGUUCUCAUAUUAGUAUGUCAUACAUUAAAUUUUAUCAUUUCACAUUUGAGCUGAGUCAAUGAAUCACAAAAAUCCCGGCAAGAACGGUUAGAGCGAUUUUAGAGGUUUUUAUGGUUCAAUAAUCGAACCGAAAAGUAAUAUAGUCUCAAUCGAAUCGAAUGCUGAAACUAGAUGAAUGAAAAGUUUAAGAGUUUGAGGUUCAAUCAGGAUCAGCCCUUCAAAAAUCUCCCUUGAAGAACUGGUCAUGUUUGUUGUUAUACGAAAAUUAAAUAUUAGAUAAAUACGCAUAAGAAUCGUAGUAAUUUAACAUUCAUGAUUGUCCAUAUAUCAUUCGUAUUAGCAUGUCAUACAAAGAUUUGUCGUUCCACGUUUGAGUUGAGUCAAUGAACAACAAAAACCAACACAAACAAUUGAAACGAUCCCGAAGAUUGAUCGAACCGGCUGGACCGGUCAGAAUAGAAGUCGAAAAAUGCAUGAGAUUUUGAGCAGCCAUGGAGGAGUUGUGACGUAUGUGUCAAAAAGGUCAAAAGUAAUAAUGACGUUAGUGGCUGCUUCAUGCAAAGUCCACUCCCACCAUUUUUAGCCUCAAACAAAGGUCCAAACUUGGUUGAUUACCAAAGAAAAAAAAUAUCACCAUUGGCACAACGAAAACGACUCAGAAAGAUCUCUGAAAAUGACUCAUACAAAUAAAAUUAACGUGAACCGUUACAUCUCAAUAAUUCAAAUUGUUGGAAAAAGGUUUUGAUUGAUGUUUAUAUCAUUCACUAACACAUACAUCCUUUUAAACGGAAGCUCUAUCUCAUACGAGCUUAUGAAGAAUCGAAAUUCAAAACGAAGACUUAUCGAAUUAUUAGGAUGCAACGGUUCUUCGCAAACUCUCGGUGUUUGCCGGCUUCAAUUUCAAAGAUGGCCAAUAUGCUUCAGUUACGAUAACAAUCCAAGCUAAUGACAGAAUUGAUAAAACCAAUGUCAACAAUUCUGAGCUUGCCGUCGAAAUUACAAUGAAACAACAGACAUUUUAACAAUUAACAAUGGAACAAAUGGCAUGAAUGUUAACAAAAUUGAAAGAUUCAGAUUCAUCCUGAAAAGUUUUAUUUCCGACCAGUUGCGUAAUAAGGAUUUUGGCCAAAUGGGGUCCUCCAUACUGAAAAGAAAAUACUAAACCAAAAAAGUAAAUAUUAAAAAUUCCACCAUUCUUCAUAUUUUAAUUAUUUUCAUCUCUUAUUUGAUCGUUUACGAGUUUUAACUUAAUUCAAGUUGGGUCCAGGGUUCGAAUGUAUAUUGCAAACGAGGUCCCUCAACUUCAACGGCGAGACGAGUGUAGAUCUGGCCAAGGAAGAACAAAAAGGUCAAAAACGAACAAUGUGGAUGGUAUAUAGUUCAAGAAACAAGACAAUGAUACAGUUUCGGAUAUAAUGAGUACCCGUUUCCCACCCCGAACAUAUUUACGAGUACCGGUACUACCCGGGACACCGAAAAUCGAGCUGGGUUCAAAAUCCCCACGUUUGUUUGUUUGUUUGCACGGAAGACCUAGCCUCUCUGAAUGAACACCCCAUGUCACCUAAUACCUGCCUGCUGUUAUUGUAGAAACAGACAAAACCUAACUUUGAACACAAGUAAGGUUUUGUUUGACCCCAUGUUGAAAACGUUUUAUUUUGGUUUCAUAUACGACUUACAAAACUACGUACGUACCAUUUGGAUUGAGCUCAGUGAUGUUUGCUGCAAAGGGGGGGUGGUCGUGGUGGCUGCUGAGUCCAUGCCGACAUCAAAUCGAUUCUUUAAUUCCAUUCGUCUAUUAGCUGCUGAUGGCUUGAUGCUUCCUUCUUAUGCCAACUGGGUGCCAUUUGUUUUCCUGCAUUGAUGACGUUUUCUUCUGCAUCUUAUCUCAAAAGCUUUGUUUGAAACAGCCUCGAGCAUCUUCUGAUCAUUCUAUCUGUAAAAGGAGAAUAUGAAUUAUUAUUGAAUGAAUAGUAUGUGGUUCUCUUAUGAGGGCUUUAUUUUGAGUUUAUUAGGGCUUUAUUUUGAAUUUAUUAAAACUUUAUUUUGAAUUUAUGAUGACCUUAUUUUAAGCUCACAUAUUACUUUUUAUGGGUCGUGUGAUAUUUUCCAUUCUUCAAUAGACAUGACUUAAACUAUCUCACGCUUUCAUUUUGCUUAUACGUUUCCUAUAACAAAAGAAAAGUUUUAUCUAUCUCCAUUUAGUCUUUAAAACUUUCCACAAUAUAAUUCUAAUAUCAUUAAAACAACAAACAUGAAACUGAAAAAUGAAAAGCUCGCGAGCAAAUUUGAAGAUUAGCAUUUCAUCCGGUCAUAUUCACAAAUAGAUAAACCAAUUCUAGUAUGUCUACAACAGCAUACUUGGAAGCCAAGCCUUUUUCGAAAAAAAACUUAUUCGUGACUCGACUCGAUUUUAAAUGAACCAACUUGAAUAUUAGCUCGAGUAUACUUUAACUUAAUAGACUUAAUGAUGUGUACGUGCUAAUGAGGAACAUUGUUUAGGUUAGUAAUAACUUGUAAAAUUUAGGACAGCUUUGUUUUUUAGCUUGUCUCGUCAACAUUUUCUAGUGGUACAAGCUUCAAAUGGAGCUCAAAUUGGGUUCAUGAGGGGGUUUCAAUGACCGAAAUUCGAAUUGAACUCAAGUUUGGCUCGUCAAGCCUAAUUGACGAGCUAGGCUCGAGUUCGACUCAGCUCAAUCAAGCCACAAUUUCAGACGGUAACUGGAAAGCGGAAUUUUAACAAUUAGAAAACAUCUUACCACAAUUGCCACCAUAGUUGAGCUCGGCCUUACCUCAAUCCGGAAACUGAUGUUCGAAACUUAGGUGCCUCCUGUACAAAUGUACAUGAUUCAAGCUCUAAACUUGAUCCUCAAAUGGCACCAACUCUUCCAACAGAGGAAAUCCCAAUUGCACAGAUCCCAAUAUACUCCACUAGGUGUUACACGCCUGUGAUCAUAAACCAGUACACAGGUGUUCCCUAACGAAUCUGGAUUUGGUAAGUAGUUAUACUUAGCUACCAGUAGUUGCCGCAAGAGCACGAACCAUCUUUGAAGCAAUGGAAACGAUUAGCAUCCCUUAACACAAUCUCUCGCCCCGUAACUUUUGCAAUCAACUUAAUCGCAGCAUGGCAAUCGCCACAAACCCUGAGAUUCUUCAUGAUCCUAAGAGUUGUACCUUUCGGCGCCUUCAGGAUUCCAUACGCCACAGCCAAUUUCUCGCUGUGAUACCGUAAGCUAUGAACCUUCUCCUCUUCCUCAACAUCAUGCAGCACAAAGCUACCGUCAGCACAAUAUCCAGCCUCUCUUAUAAGCCUAUCCAACUCCUCCAACUUCGCCAAAAUAGCGUCAUGGUCAGGAUGAGAAUUUAUGCAAUCUCUAUCUCCUCCAGUGAACAUAUGCACUUCUUUCUCCACCUGGAUCCAACUACAACCCGGCGAUUUAUACAGUGUCUGUAAUCUCAUGUUAUUCCUCAACGAUGCAACGUCCUUCCAUUUACCUUGCGAUGAAUAAAUAUUCGAGAGUAAGAUGUAAUGUCCGGAAUUCUCUGGUUCCAGCAGUAGAAGCUUCUUUGCUGCAACUUCAGCCAUAUCCAGUCUAUUAUGAAUUCUGCAAGCUCCUAGUAAAGCACCCCAAACAACAGCAUCGGGUUCCACCGACAUGUUUCGAAUUAAGUCCAUCGCCUCUGUCAGCUUUCCUGCCCGACCUAGUAGAUCAACCACGCAAGAAUAGUGUUCGGUUUUGGGAACCACUAGAUGUUUCGAUUUCAUCGACUCGAAUAGUUCAAGCCCUUCUUUCACCCUUCCUGUGUAGCUACAUGCUGAGAGAACACCAAUGAAGGUAACUUCAUCAGGAGCUACUUUUGACCUUACCAUAUCAUAGAACACCUGUAAAGCUUCUUUCCCAAGUCCAUGCUGUGCGUAACCAGUUAUAAUAGAGUUCCACAUAACAGCAUCCUUGGAUUUAAACCGGUCAAAAACUCGUUUGCCAUGAGCAAGAUCGCCGCACUUUAUAUACAUCGUGAUCAGAACUGAGCAUACGUACACAUCAAAGUCGAACAAAGAUCGAAUCAACUUCGCAUGGACCUCUCGACCGUGAUCUAGAAUUGCCAGACUACCGCAAACAGAGAGAACGCUAAUUAUCGAUGGAAAAUUCGCUCUCAUUCCUCCUCUUAGUUGCAUUAACCUAAACAGACGGAGUGCUUCCAAUUCGAAUCCUUGCCUCUCGUAAACCUUGAUCAUUGAACUCCAUGACGCAUCAUCCUUCUCCUUCAUUUGAUCGAAUACCUCCCUCGCUUUAGCCAAAUCACCGUCCCGUCCAAAUCCCAUAAUCAUUUCGUUACAAGCAGGAACCGACCGGUCUGGCAUCGAAUCAAAAAGCUCCGCAGCUUCGUUAAUCCGUCCGGCCCUCGUAUAUCCCAUCAGCAUUGCUGUCCAAGUCACCUCAUUUUUACCCGGCAUUACUUCAAACAACUUCCUAGCUACAUCAACUCUAUUAUGCAUAGCGUACCCAUUAAUCAUAGUUGUCCAAGCAAUCACAUUUCUUUCAGGCAUUUCAUCGAACAUCUCCCGUGCAUCCUUUAAUCUUCCUUCAGCACACAACCCUCCCAUCAUAUUAGUUCUAGCAACUACAUCCUUAACCGGCAUUGCGUCGUACAUCUUCGCAGCCUCAUCAACACGUCCAUCCUCAAUCAAGCCACCGAUCAUAACCGUCCACGAGACGACAUUCUUAUCAGGCAUUGCGGCAAACAAAGCUUCUGCUUCCUUAAUCAUGCCCUCUUGCACAUAACCCCUGAGCAUAGCAGUCCAAGAAAUCACAUUUCUUUCAGGCAUUCUAUCAAAGGCCUUCCUAGCCUCUAGAAUCAUCCCAUUCUUAAUAUAGCCUGAAAUCAAGCCGUUCCAAGAGACUAUGUUUCUGUCAGGCAUUUGAUCGAAUAGCUGGCGGGCUUCCUUGGGUUGGUUGUUGUGGAAGUAACCAGCCACGAUUGCAUUCCAUGACACGACGGUCUUGUUGCGGAGCUGAUCGAAGACCUGCCGGGCUCUUUCCAUUUGAGAUGUACGGGCGAAAUGGGAUAUCUGGGAAUUCGAAUUUACCGGAGGAGUGAGAGCUGCAGUAUAAUGUCUACGAAGUAUGAAGCGAACCCACAUUUUUUAAAACUGAAAAAGAUUGAUCACCAAGAGAGAACGGAGUCGAAUAAACUGAAUCUUAGUCGAUACUAAUCAACGGAAGGGUACUGUCUCCUCUUCACCGGAGUGGGUAGAGCUCGUCAUCCUCGUCGUCGGCGGGAGAGAAAGCCGAGUUGGGAAAAAAUACGUAAAAAGCAGAGAAAAAGGAAGUAAGCCAGAGACCCCGUCAAUGCAUUCGUGCACGUGGCAUGCGCGUAAGAGCGUGUGUGCACGGGCGCGUGAGAAGUCCCACUCGCAAAUUGCGUUUAUUGAACACGCACGCGUGCAUUUCACGCGUAAAACUUUCCGGGUCGGAGGUUUUUGGCUGGGACGGGUUAAAGGCCUUACAGGGCACAGGCCGAAUGACUGGGGACAUGGCCGGCCUGCUCCAAAAUUCAUGGGCCAAAUACAACUCGGGUCGGCCCAAAAUCGAACUGGCCACAAAACCUGGUCGAAGCUCACCCUCCCCACAAAGACGUCAGAAAAAUGCAAGAUGGACCCGGAUAAGGCCUAGGCCCAAUCGGCGGCAGCGUGGCUUUCCUGUCCACCAAUAUUCGCAGGCCUAAUCUGCUUCUUGCCCGCCUAAAUUUCGGAUCCUCGUUUUGAACCCGGUCCAAAGAUCACCUCAGUCCUCAGGAAAACAUCAAAACGCUGCCGUUUCACUGCCAAUUUCACGGCGGCUGUCGCACCUUUUCUCUGUCAGAUGCGUACACCCACCUGCCACCGUCGCCAUCCGACGAGAUGACUCCAAACUCGCAACCUGCCGGCACACAGUAUGCCCACGACGAGGAUUAUUAUACCCGUUUGUCAGCCUUCCCAAAAUUCGGCGAUCUCCUUCCCAAAAUCGCAAAAGUAAAUCCGCAGCAUUACCACCGCCGUUGACGCAGAGCGUCGGACACCACCGCCGGCGAUCUCCUCCUUCAAAUCUCCAUUGAAUUCCGCUAAUUAGCCUUCAAAAUUCAGAAAGCUUGAAGCUUUUCUGAUGGGUUGUUUAAAACAAGAGGGAUUUCAAGAAUAGAAUUAGCGGGCAUACCAUUGUUAAGCUCUCAGUCGUUGAAGAGACAGAUUUUUUCGAAACGAUGAAAUCGGUUCGGUAAAACGCAAAUCGGAACAACAGUUUCCUCUCUAAUACUCUCGAUCCGGACACCACUUUUAAGAUGUAGCUAACUACAAAGCGUCACGUGACAAGAGUACCGUAUUCUUGUAAUUAGUAAACGCGACAUAAUUCUUCGAUCAAAUAGUCUUCAAUUGCUACAUGAUUGAUACACAAAAGGAAACAUCACACAAGCCAAAAUGAAAGACAAAAAAAAAGUGUGAUUCCAAAAUCAGUUGGCAUAGAGAUGAAGUGGAAGCCUAGGUUGAGCAACGGCAACAAGUGGGAACUUCUUAGGAGUAGAGAGUCCAUAAAUCUCCUCCAUAUUCAAAUCCUCUUUCUUCAUCCCACUAGGCAAUCCCCACUUGAACCCAUGCACAAGAUUAGCCAAGCUAGCUUGAAUCACCUUAAUCCCCAACGGAUAUCCGGGACACAUCCUCCUUCCAGCACCGAACGGUAACAGCUCAUAGUCAUGACCCUUCACAUCAAUCUCCUUUCCUAUAAACCUCUCCGGCUUAAACUCCUCGGGAUCAUCCCAAAUCGUUGGAUCCCUCCCUAUGGUCCACGUGUUAACCAAUAUUCUUGUCCCCUUAGCCACCCGGUAGCCUGCUAUGUCGACAUCCUCGCGGGCCAACCUCGGAACCAACAACGGCGCUACAGGGUGUAGCCUCAUUGUCUCUUUUACGAUCGCGUUGAUGUAAGGCAGAUUCGCCACGUCUUUCUCUUCGACCCAACGCUCUUUCCCCACUACUCUGUCUAACUCCUCGGUUGCUUUGUCAAAUAUCUCCGGCCUCUUUAACAGUUCUGAUAUCCCCCAUUCUACCGUCACCGCCGAACUCUCUGUACCACCGGCAAUCAUGUCCUAUGUCACCAAUUUGCAUAUAGUGUUACCAAACAUUUAAUCAUAAUCAUAGAAAACACGGAAUGAUUUCAUUGCACCAUGCCCCAUACGCUUCAAAGACUAAACUAUCCUUUUAAAUUAAAAUUUUUACUUAGAUAUACCUGAGUAAAUGCCUUAACUCCCCGGCGAUCAAGCUUGACUUCCAAAUCGGGAUCGGCGGCGAGCUCCAACAAAACAUCCACCAUAUCCUUCGCCACAAAAUCCUUCUCCCCCCUCCUCGAAUUAUGCUCAUCCAAAACCCUCUCGAGAAACCCAUCGAAUUUCUUCGCCACAGCCUUCAUCCUCUUUAUAUACCCUUGCAGAUCCAGACCCGCCAGCCACGGGAUCGAAUCUCCGAUAUCCAAAACGCCGUUCAGCAAGAAAAGCUCGUCGAGCAUCUCCUUAAACUCCACCGGCGUCACAAUUUCAUUCUCUCCGUUGCCGGAAUUGGUGUACUUCUUGCCCAGAACCAUCCGGCUGAUUACAUUGAGGCUCAGAUCGGACAAAUGGUCUUUCAAAUUAAUCGGGUUUCCGCACGACCCGAAAAGGUUGUUGACGACCCAUUUCAUCUCCUCCCGCCGGAUGUAUUCAUACGACCCGACCCGUUUGGCGCUGAAGAGCUCGGUUAAGCACAUCUUCCUCGCCUGCCGCCAGUAAGGGCCGUACUGGGACCAGGUGAUGUCGGAGUAUUCGUAGGUGGUGUACUUUCCGGCGGCAAUCUCCGGGCGGCCGGCGAAGGCGAGGUCGUGGGUCUUGAGGAUGGAUUUGGCCAUGUCGACGGAGGAUCCGACGACGACCGGGUGGGACCCGAAUCGGAGCUGCAUGAUGGGCCCGUAUUUGACGGAGAGGGAGUGGAGGGAGCGGUGGGGUAGUGGGCCUAUUAAGUUGAGGUUGCCGAUAAUGGGCCAGGGUGUUGGGCCGGGUGGCUGGUUGGGGUUACGACGGUGGCGGAGCCAACCGGCAAGGAGGAUGACGGCGACGGUGAUUGCCCAUGCGGUGGCUAGAGUGGUGGUGCUUGAGGGAGUGAUGGGAUUCAUCUUCAACGUUGGGGAUUUUAGGUUUGAUGGGUUGUUGGGAAAAAGUGGAGGGUGAUGGGUAAUAUUUAUAGAAGAAAUUGUUUGGAAAUAAUGUGACUGUUUGAGUGUUGAUUAAUCGGUGGGGUUCGGAAUGGAUCGGGAUAGCGUUGUUGACCAACUAAGCAGUUUUUUUUAA
rnacentral:lncRNA from 1 species